UACGAAGGGGGCUAGCGUUGCUCGGAAUCACUGGGCGUAAAGCGCACGUAGGCGGCUUUUUAAGUCAGGGGUGAAAUCCUGGAGCUCAACUCCAGAACUGCCUUUGAUACUGGGAAGCUUGAGUCCGGGAGAGGUGAGUGGAACUCCGAGUGUAGAGGUGAAAUUCGUAGAUAUUCGGAAGAACACCAGUGGCGAAGGCGGCUCACUGGCCCGGUACUGACGCUGAGGCGCGAAAGCGUGGGGAGCAAACGGG
rnacentral:rRNA from 1 species